UCUUGGAUCCUAUCUUUCAUUAUUUCUCUUUCCUGAGUGCAGCUCAAAAGAAAAGUUUAGUUUUUGGUGUAAGAAUACUAUUGUCUGCUUUUUUCGUUGCGUGGCUUUACAUAUAACAUUACAUGAUUGGUCUUUAUAAGUCCCUUAUGGUGCAAAUUAUCUCCUACUGGUUAGGCUGCCCUUAUAUGUUUUAGUCGCUUUCAACUAUUUGUGGAAUACUUGUGUUCAUCUUACCUCAGAAUGCGCUUGUAAUGCAAGGGAAUGACAGAUUUGACCCAUGUUUAUGCAGCCCAUGGAAAGUGUCUGAGUUGAAUCGAGCGAAAAGAGGAACAGGAUGGAAGAUUGAAAGUACCUUUGCCUUUGGUAUAAUGCCCAUUGUUCUAGCAUUCAGAACUAUGGUAGUAUAUCAUCACCUGCUGAAAAUGGCUCAUUGGGGCCUAACUUCUGUAGGCUACAUGAACACAAGGGCGAAGAAAGGAGGUGCAUGCCCCAGAAUAUUCAAUCCAGUCAAGUGACUGCUUUGGACAAGGAAAAUACCAAGUUGGCCAGCCCCAAGUGCCACGCUGGAUCCAUCUGACGCAAAUUCUUCCAGCAGAAAAUAAGUCUCACCGCCUGGUCUGAUCCGUCACCUGCUAUGGAUUAUGAAGACCUGAGGCAGGUAAUGCUAAGCGUUUGUGCUAUUGUCCUAGAAUAUCACUGCGCCGAAAGAAGGAAAUCAAUGGACCCACUGGAAGAUGACAUGUAUGUCUUGCAUAUCCUUAUCAUCAAAGUUUCAAGCCGCCCUAGUGGCGCUGUCAGAUCUGAGUCAGCAUCGUACGUAGAUUCUAUCAUUCUUUGGAAAACUUUCAGAAGUUGAUGUUUUGUUUCGUGGAACUGUUUGCUUUUGGUCACUGGAAUAAAACCGUCACCUGUGAUCCUUCGAGCCAAUAAGCAUAGGUCGAUGUAUCGAUGGACACAAUUCUUUUUCAACGCUGUAAUAUUUCUGUAAUUUUACUUUUUAUUGACAAAACAAAGUCUGUGGCCCAGAAAAUAUGGGAUUUAUUAAAAAGAAAAGGUGGAUCAGAAAAGAGAGGCGGCAUCUUCUAAAAGCAGAGGAAGGGUGAGUAUCACAAGUUUCCUUCUUUUAUAUGAUACAUCCAAAUUUUCUUUGGAUGAAGGCAACAGGAGAAGCGAAUAUGGGCCUGUGAUUGGAGAAGAACACCCAGCAACACCAAUGUUGGCACCGGCCGUGCUAAAGCCAUCUUGUCAGGCAAGUGGUCAUGUGGAGGGAGCAACCUUUUACCAUGAGAUCAAAUGGGAAACACAAAGCAAAGGAAAGAGGUCGAUCUCCAGAGUGGAUCCAGUGAAGAGAAUUUCGGAUGUCCAUUUUCUGACGUGCGGGACCCACAAAGCCGCAAGUCUGCUUUACAACACAGCACUACACAUGCAGAAUGGUAGAUAGAUUCAUAGAUUGACAGGCACUGGCAGAUGACGCGAGCAGUGAUCUUCUCCUACUGAAAGGCUGGCCUCUCGUGGUUGAGCUGUCCGUCCCCUGCGCAUGGCGCGAACGUCAUGUGGGCCCCACCACGAC